rnacentral:rRNA from 1 species
UACGUAGGAUGCAAGGGUUGUCCGGAUUUAUUGGGUUUAACGGGUGCGUAGGCGGCCUAUUAAGUUAGGGGUGAAAACGUUCGGCUUAACCGGAAACCCGCCAUUGAUACUGAUAGACUUGAGUGCGACAGAGGGUGUUGGAAUGUGUGGUGAAGCGGUGAAAUGCUUAGAUAUCACGCAGAACACCAAUUGCGAAGGCAGAUGCCUAUGUCGUAACUGACGCUGAGGCACGAAAGCGUGGGGAGCAAACAGG